AGGUGGUUAGCUCAGCGGUAGAGCGUCUGCCUUACAAGCAGAGGGUCGCUGGUUCAAAUCCAGUACUACCUA
rnacentral:tRNA from 1 species